rnacentral:piRNA from 1 species
UAUCGUUUUGGUUCUAAAUGA